rnacentral:rRNA from 1 species
UACGUAGGGUGCGAGCGUUGUCCGGAAUUAUUGGGCGUAAAGAGCUUGUAGGCGGUCUGUCGCGUCUGCUGUGAAAAUCCGGGGCUCAACCCCGGACUUGCAGUGGGUACGGGCAGACUAGAGUGCGGUAGGGGGAGACUGGAAUUCCUGGUGUAGCGGUGAAAUGCGCAGAUAUCAGGAGGAACACCGAUGGCGAAGGCAGGUCUCUGGGCCACUACUGACGCU